rnacentral:rRNA from 1 species
GAUGAACGCUGGCGGCGUGCCUAAUACAUGCAAGUCGAGCGAACGGACGAGAAGCUUGCUUCUCUGAUGUUAGCGGCGGACGGGUGAGUAACACGUGGAUAACCUACCUAUAAGACUGGGAUAACUUCGGGAAACCGGAGCUAAUACCGGAUAAUAUUUUGAACCGCAUGGUUCAAAAGUAAAAGACGGUCUUGCUGUCACUUAUAGAUGGAUCCGCGCUGCAUUAGCUAGUUGGUAAGGUAACGGCUUACCAAGGCAACGAUGCAUAGCCGACCUGAGAGGGUGAUCGGCCACACUGGAACUGAGACACGGUCCAGACUCCUACGGGAGGCAGCAGUAGGGAAUCUUCCGCAAUGGGCGAAAGCCUGACGGAGCAACGCCGCGUGAGUGAUGAAGGCCUUCGGAUCGUAAAACUCUGUUAUUAGGGAAGAACAUAUGUGUAAGUAACUGUGCACAUCUUGACGGUACCUAAUCAGAAAGCCACGGCUAACUACGUGCCAGCAGCCGCGGUAAUACGUAGGUGGCAAGCGUUAUCCGGAAUUAUUGGGCGUAAAGCGCGCGUAGGCGGUUUUUUAAGUCUGAUGUGAAAGCCCACGGCUCAACCGUGGAGGGUCAUUGGAAACUGGAAAACUUGAGUGCAGAAGAGGAAAGUGGAAUUCCAUGUGUAGCGGUGAAAUGCGCAGAGAUAUGGAGGAACACCAGUGGCGAAGGCGACUUUCUGGUCUGUAACUGACGCUGAUGUGCGAAAGCGUGGGGAUCAAACAGGAUUAGAUACCCUGGUAGUCCACGCCGUAAACGAUGAGUGCUAAGUGUUAGGGGGUUUCCGCCCCUUAGUGCUGCAGCUAACGCAUUAAGCACUCCGCCUGGGGAGUGCGACCGCAAGGUUGAAACUCAAAGGAAUUGACGGGGACCCGCACAAGCGGUGGAGCAUGUGGUUUAAUUCGAAGCAACGCGAAGAACCUUACCAAAUCUUGACAUCCUUUGACAACUCUAGAGAUAGAGCCUUCCCCUUCGGGGGACAAAGUGACAGGUGGUGCAUGGUUGUCGUCAGCUCGUGUCGUGAGAUGUUGGGUUAAGUCCCGCAACGAGCGCAACCCUUAAGCUUAGUUGCCAUCAUUAAGUUGGGCACUCUAAGUUGACUGCCGGUGACAAACCGGAGGAAGGUGGGGAUGACGUCAAAUCAUCAUGCCCCUUAUGAUUUGGGCUACACACGUGCUACAAUGGACAAUACAAAGGGCAGCGAAACCGCGAGGUCAAGCAAAUCCCAUAAAGUUGUUCUCAGUUCGGAUUGUAGUCUGCAACUCGACUACAUGAAGCUGGAAUCGCUAGUAAUCGUAGAUCAGCAUGCUACGGUGAAUACGUUCCCGGGUCU